CGUAGGGUGAAAGUCCCGAGGCGGCAACAGGUCAAGGCCGCAUAGCUGGGGUGGCGCCGACAGGGGAGACCCCUGCGGUGAAGCCCACUGACAAAGCCCCGUUUCAGCGGGGUGAGCGAGUGCACGGGCCGUAACGGCG
rfam:Myxococcus xanthus DK 1622, complete genome.